rnacentral:rRNA from 1 species
UGGGGAAUAUUGGACAAUGGGCGAAAGCCUGAUCCAGCCAUGCCGCGUGUGUGAAGAAGGCCCUCGGGUUGUAAAGCACUUUCAGUGGGGAAGAAAGCCUUGGGAUUAAUACUCCCGAGGAAGGACAUCACCCACAGAAGAAGCACCGGCUAACUCCGUGCCAGCAGCCGCGGUAAUACGGAGGGUGCGAGCGUUAAUCGGAAUUACUGGGCGUAAAGCGCGCGUAGGCGGUCUGAUAAGCCGGUUGUGAAAGCCCCGGGCUCAACCUGGGAACGGCAUCCGGAACUGUCAAGCUAGAGUGCAGGAGAGGAAGGUAGAAUUCCCGGUGUAGCGGUGAAAUGCGUAGAGAUCGGGAGGAAUACCAGUGGCGAAGGCGGCCUUCUGGACUGACACUGACACUGAGGUGCGAAAGCGUGGGUAGCAAACA